GACGAACGCUGGCGGCGUGCUUAACACAUGCAAGUCGAACGCUGAAGACCUGGCUUUUGUUGGGUUGGAUGAGUGGCGAACGGGUGAGUAACACGUGAGUAACCUGCCCUCUUCUUUGGGAUAACGCCCGGAAACGGGUGCUAAUACUGGAUAUUCACUGAUCUUCGCAUGGGGGUUGGUGGAAAGGUUUGUUCUGGUGGGGGAUGGGCUCGCGGCCUAUCAGCUUGUUGGUGGGGUGAUGGCCUACCAAGGCUUUGACGGGUAGCCGGCCUGAGAGGGUGACCGGUCACAUUGGGACUGAGAUACGGCCCAGACUCCUACGGGAGGCAGCAGUGGGGAAUAUUGCACAAUGGGCGAAAGCCUGAUGCAGCGACGCCGCGUGAGGGAUGGAGGCCUUCGGGUUGUAAACCUCUUUCGCUCAUGGUCAAGCCGCAACUGUGGGUUGUGGU
rnacentral:rRNA from 1 species